rnacentral:rRNA from 1 species
AUUACCGAGUUAUGGGGGCUUAGCCCCCGACUCCAACCCUGUGUAACUACCUUUGUUGCUUUGGUGGGCCCUGCACUGGGAUGCCCCUAUACUUUAGGGACGUCUCGGGGCUAUCGUGCCCGCCAGAGGACCUAAACCAUUCUGAUUGAAACCACCGUCUGAAGCUUCUAGUUAAUACUAUAAAACUUUCAACAACGGAUCUCUUGGUUCUGGCAUCGAUGAAGAACGCAGCGAAAUGCGAUAAGUAGUGUGAAUUGCAGAAUUCAGUGAAUCAUCGAAUCUUUGAACGCACAUUGCGCCUCCGGUAGCUCGGAGGCAUGCCUGUCUGAGCGUCACUUAAAACCAUGGACCCAGGAUUGGGUCCGUAUUGGGCGUCGCCCCCCUCUCCAGAGUGGCGCGUGGCCUCAAAGACAUUGGUCUUACAUGCGGACGAGCUCCCCUGGGACAGACCGCGUGGAGACCCUAAGCAUCUGACUUUGAUCUCAGAUCAGGUAGGACUACCGCCUG